rnacentral:rRNA from 1 species
UAAGCGUGUAGGCUGGUUUUCUAGGCAAAUCCGGAAAAUCAAGGCUGAGGCGUGAUGACGAGGCACUACGGUGCUGAAGCAACAAAUGCCCUGCUUCCAGGAAAAGCCUCUAAGCAUCAGGUAACAUCAAAUCGUACCCCAAACCGACACAGGUGGUCAGGUAGAGAAUACCAAGGCGCUUGAGAGAACUCGGGUGAAGGAACUAGGCAAAAUGGUGCCGUAACUUCGGGAGAAGGCACGCUGAUAUGUAGGUGAAGUCCCUCGCGGAUGGAGCUGAAAUCAGU